rnacentral:misc_RNA from 1 species
CUCCCCAUCAAGAAUUCCAGCAUGAAUGUCUUCUUUGAAUACUGCACACCGCAACGACACACCAGAGGUUGAUGCCAGCUGCGAAUCCCUUGCCCACUCGUCCCUUUCUUCCAAUACCCCAGAAAGUUUUACAUUGCCUGCCUCUGUGCCAGAGUCCUGGUUGCAAUCAUGCGGAAGAUCCUUGCCAACUGCUCCAAUAUCUGCAGCUUUAUCACUCCCUGCAUUUGGAAUUGAAUUGAUUUCCAAGCCGUCAAGCUCUACUUCUGUACCAUCAUGGACA